rnacentral:rRNA from 1 species
UACGUAGGGUGCGAGCGUUAAUCGGAAUUACUGGGCGUAAAGCGUGCGCAGGCGGUUGGUUAAGUCUGAUGUGAAAGCCCCGGGCUCAACCUGGGAAUGGCAUUGGAAACUGGCUGGCUAGAGUGUGGCAGAGGGGGGUGGAAUUCCGCGUGUAGCAGUGAAAUGCGUAGAGAUGCGGAGGAACACCGAUGGCGAAGGCAGCCUUCUGGGCCAACACUGACGCUCAUGCACGAAAGCGUGGGGAGCAAACAGG